rnacentral:rRNA from 1 species
UACGUAGGGGGCUAGCGUUGUCCGGAUUUAUUGGGCGUAAAGAGCUCGUAGGUGGUUUGGUAAGUCGGAUGUGAAAUCUCCAGGCUCAACCUGGAGGGGUCAUUCGAUACUGCCAUGACUAGAGGUCGGUAGGGGAGUGUGGAAUUCCUGGUGGAGCGGUGAAAUGCGCAGAUAUCAGGAGGAACACCGAUGGCGAAGGCAGGUCUCUGGGCCGAUACUGACGCUGAGGAGCGAAAGCGUGGGGAGCGAACAGG